rnacentral:rRNA from 1 species
UCGGGAAUUUUGGGCAAUGGGCGCAAGCCUGACCCAGCGACGCCGCGUGAGCGAUGAAGGCCCUCGGGUCGUAAAGCUCUGUCAGAAGGGAAGACGGGAGCGAAGGCAAAUAGCCUAGCUUUUGACGGUACCUUCAAAGGAAGCGCCGGCUAACUCCGUGCCAGCAGCCGCGGUAAUACGGAGGGCGCAAGCGUUGUUCGGAAUCACUGGGCGUAAAGCGCGUGUAGGCGGUCAGGACAGUCGGAUGUGAAAUCCCGAGGCUCAACCUCGGAACUGCAUUCGAAACUACCUGGCUAGAGUCCCGGAGAGGAAGGCAGAAUUCCCGGUGUAGGGGUGAAAUCCGUAGAUAUCGGGAGGAAUACCAGUGGCGAAGGCGGCCUUCUGGACGGUGACUGACGCUGAGACGCGAAAGCGUGGGGAGCAAACAGGAUUAGAUACCCCCGUAGUCC